rnacentral:rRNA from 1 species
GUAGGUGGCAAGCGUUGUCCGGAAUUAUUGGGCGUAAAGCGCGCGCAGGCGGUUCUUUAAGUCUGAUGUGAAAGCCCACGGCUCAACCGUGGAGGGUCAUUGGAAACUGGAGAACUUGAGUACAGAAGAGGAAAGCGGAAUUCCACGUGUAGCGGUGAAAUGCGUAGAGAUGUGGAGGAACACCAGUGGCGAAGGCGGCUUUCUGGUCUGCAACUGACGCUGAGGCGCGAAAGCGUGGGGAGCAAACAGGAUUAGAUACCCUGGUAGUCCACGCCGUAAACGAUGAGUGCUAAGUGUUAGGGGGUUUUCCGCCCCCCUUAGUGCUGCAGCUAACGCAUUAAGCACUCCGCCUGGGAGUACGGCCGCAAGGCUG